rfam:Gossypium raimondii Chr03_contig_67, whole genome shotgun sequence.
UUUUAAAAAUUUCAUCCUUUUGUACUGUUAAAAAUUAAUGUGGUUGACAGAAUAACCAGACAAUGACACAUUAGAUGUCAUGUGUACCACCUAUUGACGUACAGAGACUAGUUUUUAAUAGUAAAAUUGAUGAAUUUUUUUAAUA